rnacentral:tRNA from 1 species
GCCGCCAUGGUGAAAUCGGUAAACAC